AUUUCUAUGGGAAUGAGAUCCAUUGCUGUAACGAACUAUGAAACUGGGAUAUUGAAGAAAGGAAGUGGAUGAGUUGCCUUGGGCAAGAUGCUCACAGAUCACAAUGCAUGGAAAUGCUAAGAUGGCAAGGCUGUGUCAGGACCCAAGUGUGUGUUCUCUGAAGAAAUCAACACUGCAUCGUCGAUUCAGUUAAGUUUGAACGAGACAACUCUGACGCUCCUCCUGUCUCCGUACCGCUUCGCCAGUUAUGAAGACCCAGAUCGUGUCCGAUCAGCAUCUAACGGCUGCGAGAGCCUCGCUUGUCGCUGUUGGCUUUCCGGCAAGCCUUCAGAGAGCUAACUACUCCAUUUUGCCUUUCCUUCUUUUUCCUCCAAGUUGUAAUAAGGCUAUAAAGCCGCGUUUAUAGAACUCUCUGGGUAUCUCUCUUGUAUUAGGGUUUCCCCCUAAGGCCGCGCUUAGUAGCGGUGUAAUCAAAUACAGUCGUAUUAAUUUUCCAGGUGUAUCUUACCGGUUGCUAGCAGAUUUCCAGCCGGAAAAAAAAACGACGAGGAGAGGUCUGUAUUUUUUCGACAGAGGUAUUUGUGUCAAAACAGUAAUCCAAACAGAACCUAAGCUGCCAGUGUUCCUGGUUGGCCUUUGGUUUUUCUUGUAUCA